GACGAACGCUGGCGGCGUGCUUAACACAUGCAAGUCGAACGGUAAGGCCCUUCGGGGUACACGAGUGGCGAACGGGUGAGUAACACGUGGGUGAUCUGCCCUGCACUUCGGGAUAAGCCUGGGAAACUGGGUCUAAUACCGGAUAGGACCACUGCCUGCAUGGGUGGUGGUGGAAAGCUUUUGCGGUGUGGGAUGGGCCCGCGGCCUAUCAGCUUGUUGGUGGGGUGAUGGCCUACCAAGGCGACGACGGGUAGCCGGCCUGAGAGGGUGACCGGCCACACUUGGACUGGGAUACGGCCCAGACUCCGACGGGAGGCAGCAGUGGGGAAUAUUGCACAAUGGGCGCAAGCCUGAUGCAGCGACGCCGCGUGAGGGAUGACGGCCUUCGGGUUGUAAACCUCUUUCAGCACCGACGAAGCGCAAGUGACGGUAGGUGCAGAAGAAGGACCGGCCAACUACGUGCCAGCCGCCGCAGUAA
rnacentral:rRNA from 1 species